CAGAAGUCAGGUCGGAUUAAGCCAUAGUACGGAAAAAACUAUGCUACCUGUGAGCCCCGUCCAAGGACGUUAAAAGAAGUCAGGCCACUACAAGUGCCAUAGCUUGAGUAAACUAUGCAGCCUGUAGCUCCACCUGAGAAGGUGUAAAAAAUCUGGGAGGCCACAAACCAUGGAAGCUGUACGCAUGGCGUAGUGGACUAGCGGUUAGAGGAGACCCCUCCCUUACAAAUCGCAGCAACAAUGGGGGCCCAAGGUGAGAUGAAGCUGUAGUCUCACUGAAAGGACUAGAGGUUAGAGGAGACCCCCCCGAAAUAAAAAACAGCAUAUUGACG
rnacentral:lncRNA from 1 species